rnacentral:rRNA from 1 species
AUGGAGCCAUGGCGGAGAGGCGAGGGGUCCAGCCUCAAGAAGCCCAUGGCCCCGCCCUUGGCCGCCCUCGGCGCCGAACUCCUCGGGAAGAUACUCCGCCGCCUCCCCGACAUGGCGUCGCUCGCCAGCGCCGCCCGCGUCUGCAAGCGCUGGGGCCGCGUGGCUUCCGACCCGGCCGUCUUCCGCCGCUUCGGCUCCCUCCGCAGGCCCCCGCUCGUCGGCGUCCUCGUCACCGACCGCGGCCGCGAGAAGUUCCCCCUCUACCGCCCUGAUGUCUGCUUCAUCCAGGCCCCCUCGCGCAACAACCCCGAGCUGGCCUCCGCCGCGGCAGACGGCGACUUCUACUUCAUGCACCACCCCAACGUCCACGACCACGACGAGUGGCGCCUCCGCGGCUGCGACGGCGGCCUCCUCUUCUCCCUCGGCCGCUACAGUACCGACCUCGCCGUCUACGGCCCCCUCGACCGCACCGUCGUCUUCUUCAAGCCGCCCGACGACCGGCUCUUGUUCUUCUACGCCAUCGUCGCCGACGAGGCCGACGCCUCGUUCCAGGUCAUCGCCAUACAGCCCGGGGACGACGAGACCUCAUUCGUCUUCUCCCCCCGCACCGGCAGCUGGGUCGAGAAUGGCUCCGUGUGCUCCGAGUGCUACACUGACGGCAUUGCCGCGGGGCGGUUCGCUUACUGGCGGUCCAACACCAAGAAGGACGAUUACAACGAAGUGAAGGAGGGUAUACUGGUGGUUGACACGACGACCAUGGUGUGGUCGUACAUGACCGCGCCGUUCCCCGUCGGCGAAUCCUACUGUGUGGCGCACAUGGCGGAGCACGGCGGGCUGUGCAUCGUGUCCAGCAAGGAGCAACGCGUGCUGCUGUGGGUCCGUGACGCCAAUGGUGGAUGGGUGGUCAAGCAGGAGGUCUCGCUGCUGAAUCAGUUUCCCUCCCUGAAAAGGCUUCGUCGUUACCAAUGGAUGAAGAGGGUGCGCAUCCUGGCAAUGAAAGCUGGCUAUGUCUACAUGGAGUUCUGGUCCAUAAGGAAUAAUGACUCCUAUCUUCUUGUGCUCAAUCUCAACACCGUCAAGCUGGAAAUGUUUCUCAACAAUGGGCUCAACAACGAGGGCAAGCCUUACAGAGGCCGGGCCCACCUGUCAGGUGACACGGUGGCCAAUCGGUGUGUGCCCGGUGCGCUGACUAGGACGAGGCCGGUGCGGUCGGUUACAUGGGCUCGGUCGGCUCGGUCGUGGAUUCCUGCUAGCAUUGAAGACCAAGACUAUAGUGGCAUUGAGACAGCACCCAGAGCUCUUUGCCAUCAGCAUGGUGUGGCGGCUGAGAGGCGUGUAGCAUUCGAAGCAUUUAACACGGGCAGGAGGUUCUUAGUCUGUCCUAAGAGUGAAGAUGACAACUGUGGUAUUGUUCUCUGUAUUGACCCAGAGUGGCCUCCUACAUUGCAGAAUGCCUUGUUGAAGCUAUGGGAAAUGUAUCAUGACAGCAAGAGUGAUAGGGGGAAGGAUAACCUGGAGAGUUCACUCACUAUUCACCAUUUGAUUAAAGAAAAAAAUAAUCUAGAGGCCAACUAUGACAAAUUGGUUGAGGAUGUGCACCAAUUGUUCAAUGCUCAAGAGGAUAGGAUGGUAGAUUUCAGCUAUUUGCAGGCUAAGAUGCAGAAUGUGCAUGUUUCUGAUUUAGUUGUAUCUGACAUGAAGACAGAGAUGGGGAAGAAAGAUGCAGAGAUCUUCAAGCUGCAGGAGAAGUAUAAAGUACGGAUGAACCUGACACAAUCUCAAGGCACUUGCAUCAGGAACCUGAAGUUCAAUUAUCUAAAAGAGAAGGAAGUGCUUAGUACAUCCACCAGGAACCUGCAAUUCCAGGUUGAUGAACUCAAAAAAUCUGAGGAAAAGCUCAUCCAGGAGAACACCCAGCUGCUCCUUCACAUGGUUGUUGUGAACCACUAUGUUGUUGCUUUAAGUUGUUGUGAACCACUAUGGUGUUGUGGUGAACCACUAUGUUGUUACGGUGAACCACUAUGUUAA